CCACUCCAGCCUCGACUGUUGGUACACAUUUGGCAGUCAUACAUGGCACACGUAUACACACAAGCGACGAGGCGAGAGCAGUAUGGCAGCGUUGACAGUUGUGUGAUUUUGUUGAUUCUUUUUUCGUUGUUGCGACAUACAUCGAUUCGUAUCGAUUCGCCAGAUAAACAAACGCCGCCUGUUCGCGGAUCGAAGACUUGAGACAGGUCGUCCCGUCAGAGCUCUCGAGAUGGGAGUGAUAUUUCUCGAGCACAUCGGUGGCAGUCGCCUGUUUUCCUGCGCCUCCUGCGACACCAAUCUCACCAACAGGUCACAGCUCGUGAGCACGCGUUUCACGGGUGCCACGGGACGCGCGUUCCUCUUCAACAAAGUCGUCAAUCUGAAUUAUAGCGAGGUUCAGGAUAGAGUGAUGCUGACGGGUCGUCACAUGGUCCGAGACGUCAGCUGCAAAAACUGUGAUGCUAAGCUCGGGUGGGUGUACGAAUUUGCGACAGACGAGCAACAACGGUACAAGGAGGGUCGCGUUAUCCUGGAACGAGCUCUCGUGACGGAGAGCGACGGAUUGACCGAGCAUAAUGCUCAACAAUAAUGUUUAAUAUUUAACACUAAGUAGCGUUUAAUACAUUAAGAAAUAAUCCAACACUAGGACUCUCGUUAUAAGUUAUUGUAUUUUUUUAAAUCUUGUCAAUUAUGAGAGAUUGUUGGUUAGCGGCCAAACUUAUUUGUGCGUGAGCGAGUAUUGACAACAUUUAAUUCAUUGUGAUAAGCGACAAGUUCAACACUUACGUAAAUAUGAUGGAACAUUAAUAAACUGACCUCAGUGACAAAUAUCUUUGUCAAGAAAAUUAAGAAAACGUGAGUAUAUACAAUUUGGCAAGUGUGUAUCGAUGAGUGCAAUAUAGAUACCAAUUGAACAAGCAUCCUAUCAUGUAGCUUUAUUUAUAUCCUUUCAAUAAAUUUGAUUUGGAUAAGCAAUAAUAAGUGGAGGAUUGAGUGUAGAAUUAACGCUAGAUAUAAUUAUCCGAGAUAUUUAAUUUUUAUUUCCUUCAGUGGGAAUCAAAGUAAAUCCUUAAGGAAUAUUAAAUUGACUCAAGUACAAUACAGAUACAAAUUGAACAGUAUGGAUUAUGUAUAACUUUACAUUCUUUUAAAUUGAACAGAAGCAACAAUGUACGAAUUUGUCUACAAUUAACGUUAGGCACGAUUGUCUGAGAUAUUUAACUUUAAUUAUCUUCGAUGAGAAAUGAAGUUUUUGAAGUAUUAAAUUAAGUGUAGAUACAUAUAUCUGUACAGCUGUAAAUUGAGAGGAUACAGAAGGACUUUCGAAAUCUCGUGAAAGUCACGUUUUGGGAACUUCGAACACUUUCUAAAGAAAUAAAGGUCGCGUUAAAUAUAAAAAUGUAACGACGAGAGACCGAUAGUUGUUUAGAUUUGGUAUGAAUGUGAGAUGCUGACACAAACUUAAUAAUAAUACAGUACUUAACGUUUACUCUGUACGUACUUCAGAUAAGCGGAUAACACCUAUAUAGGAUAAAAAAAAUUCAAUCUUAAAAAAAGAUUUAGAAUGAUAAAAUAGAUCGUGAUAAGUGAUAAUGCAUGAAAUUGUUUUCAGGUCAAAAAUAAAAAAAACCACGGCUCAAUCUUAAAAGAUUUAGAAUCGAACGAUAAAACAGAUGAUAAGUGACAAUAUAUGAAAUUGUUUUCGUAACAAGUUAUUUUCGAUCGCGUUAAUUUAUGUGCCUUCCGAAUUGAUAGAUAACCAACCAAGAGGCUAACGGUAUUUCCGUGUCAAUGUAUCAUCGUUACCUUAAAAUAAUUAUGUAUGCAAAUCGAAUCUACACACAUUUACGUCCAUAAUUUUCUAAUGCAUUUUAAAUAUGUAAGUUCUUUGUACACAAUUUUAUCCACUCGAUUUUCUA